UACGUAGGGACCGAGCGUUGUCCGGAAUCAUUGGGCGUAAAGAGCGUGUAGGCGGCCUUUUAAGUCCUGCGUGAAAUCCUGCGGCUCAACCGCAGACGGUCGUGGGAAACUGGAAGGCUAGAGUGCGGGAGAGGAGAGUGGAAUUCCCGGUGUAGCGGUGAAAUGCGCAGAUAUCGGGAGGAACACCUAUGGCGAAGGCAGCUCGCUGGGACGUUACUGACGCUGAGACGCGAAAGCGUGGGAGCAAACAGG
rnacentral:rRNA from 1 species